UCGAGCGUAGCGCAGCCCGGUUAGCGCACCGGUCUCGGGGGACCGGGGGUCGGGAGUCAAUCUCCCGGCUCCGGACCA
rnacentral:tRNA from 1 species